AACAAAACUAGCAGAGAAGCACCACAUCGUCUCCAUCAAAGAAUAAGGCACCAUGUAUCUAGUGUGGAAGGACUAACCAUACUGUGGACACAUGCAAUCCUCCCAACUACAAGCUCUACAAGCCACCAUCAGGUUCGAAGGAUUAUAGGGCUAUAAAUUUGAUGGCAACUGAAGAUGACUCAGGGAGUUCUUCGACUCUUAAUAUUUUUCAAGAGCAGAUACAGCAGCUCAUUGCACUUCUUCAAGGUCAGAAUUCAAAUACCACAAAUUUUAACACAAAACUCUCAGGUAUCCAUCCUUCAAACACCUCAGGUAAUUUAAAAAAAAAAAAAAAAAAAACCCUUAUCAGUUGUCUUUAAACACAGUUUGAGAUGCACAAAUAUCUCCAAUGAGUCAUAUACCUAGAUCUUAGAUUCAGGAGCCACAUACCACAUAGUCAGUUCUCUCUGUUUGUUGACACAUAGAAAAGCCAUCAAAGACAUUUCAAUAAAACUACCAAACGGGACAUCCACACCCGUCACUCAUGUAGGAAUAGUAGUUAUCUCACCUACCCCUACUCUCAUAGAUGUUCUCUAUGUUCUACUCUUCAACUUUAAUCUAAUUUCCACAAGUAAAUUGACCAAAGACAUGAACUGUCGUUAUGUUUUCCUUGCUGAUUGUUGUUACAUACAAGAGCUGGUAACCAAGAAGAUGAUUGGAGUUGCUAAGUAAGUUCAAGGUUUUUACUAUUUGCAACUCGACCAGCCCCGAACCAAUCAUUUUGUAGCCCUAUCAAACUCUAUUUUGAGAACUAAGCUUUGAC
rnacentral:lncRNA from 1 species